AAACCAAGAAAUGCUUGAAAGAAGUGAAAGUAAACAGCCACAGGAUUUUCAAAGUUAUGGAAAAAAGAAGGAUGUGAUAUAUACAAAUUGCAUGUUGAAGGGAGAUAUUGCCACACUCAGAUGGGAAUUAUAUGUAAUAAAAAAUGACAGUCUCAAAAAGGAAAAGGAAUAUAUUCAGGAAAUUAAAAGUAUUAGAGAAAUAAAUGCUAACUUUGAAAAGAGUGCAAGACUCAAUGAGAAAAUAAC